rnacentral:rRNA from 1 species
GUCUUUUUGAGUAUAAUUUAAAGUCUAACCUGCCCAAUGAUUAAUUAAAUGGCCGCAGUAUUAUGACUGUGCAAAGGUAGCAUAAUCAAUAGUUUUUUAAUUGAAAACUAGAAUGAAAGGUUGAAUAAAAAAAUUACUGUCUCAUAUUAAUUUAUUUAGAAAUUUAUUUUUAAGUUCAAAAGCUUAAAUAAAGUUUAAAGACGAGAAGACCCUAUAGAGUUUAAUAUUUAAAAUUUUUUUUUAUUUAAGAUUUUAAUUUUUUAAAUUAUUUUAAAUAUUUAGUUGGGGUGAUUAAAAAAUUUAAAGAACUUUUUUUAAAUUAAAACAUUUAUUUAUGAAUAUUUGAUCCAAAAUUUUUGAUUAUAAGAUUAAAUUACCUUAGGGAUAACAGCGUUAUUUUUUUUUAGAGAUCUAAUCGAAAAAAAAGAUUGCGACCUCGAUGUUGGAUUAAAAUUAAUAUUUGGCGUAGUAGUUAAAUUAUUAGGUCUGUUCGACCUUUAAAAUUUUACA